rnacentral:rRNA from 1 species
GGGGGGAACCCUGAUCCAGCCAUGCCGCGUGUGUGAAGAGGGCCUUUUGGUUGUAAAGCACUUUAAGCGAGGAGGAGGCUACUGGUAUUAAUACUACCGGAUAGUGGACGUUACUCGCAGAAUAAGCACCGGCUAACUCUGUGCCAGCAGCCGCGGUAAUACAGAGGGUGCGAGCGUUAAUCGGAUUUACUGGGCGUAAAGCGUGCGUAGGCGGCUUUUUAAGUCGGAUGUGAAAUCCCUGAGCUUAACUUAGGAAUUGCAUUCGAUACUGGGAGGCUAGAGUAUGGGAGAGGAUGGUAGAAUUCCAGGUGUAGCGGUGGAAUGCGUAGAGAUCUGGAGGAAUACCGAUGGCGAAGGCAGCCAUCUGGCCUAAUACUGACGCUGAGGUACGAAAGCAUGGGGAGCAAACAGGAUUAGAUACCCUGGUAGUCCAUGCCGUAAACGAUGUCUACUAGCCGUUGGGGCCUUUGAGGCUUUAGUGGCGCAGCUAACGCGAUAAGUAGACCGCCUGGGGAG